UUUGAUCCUGGCUCAGAUUGAACGCUGGCGGCAGGCCUAACACAUGCAAGUCGAGCGGUAACACAGAGAGCUUGCUCUCGGGUGACGAGCGGCGGACGGGUGAGUAAUGUCUGGGAAACUGCCUGAUGGAGGGGGAUAACUACUGGAAACGGUAGCUAAUACCGCAUAACGUCGCAAGACCAAAGUGGGGGACCUUCGGGCCUCAUGCCAUCAGAUGUGCCCAGAUGGGAUUAGCUAGUAGGUGGGGUAAUGGCUCACCUAGGCGACGAUCCCUAGCUGGUCUGAGAGGAUGACCAGCCACACUGGAACUGAGACACGGUCCAGACUCCUACGGGAGGCAGCAGUGGGGAAUAUUGCACAAUGGGCGCAAGCCUGAUGCAGCCAUGCCGCGUGUAUGAAGAAGGCCUUCGGGUUGUAAAGUACUUUCAGCGAGGAGGAAGGCGUUAAGGUUAAUAACCUUAGCGAUUGACGUUACUCGCAGAAGAAGCACCGGCUAACUCCGUGCCAGCAGCCGCGGUAAUACGGAGGGUGCAAGCGUUAAUCGGAAUUACUGGGCGUAAAGCGCACGCAGGCGGUCUGUCAAGUCGGAUGUGAAAUCCCCGGGCUCAACCUGGGAACUGCAUUCGAAACUGGCAGGCUAGAGUCUUGUAGAGGGGGGUAGAAUUCCAGGUGUAGCGGUGAAAUGCGUAGAGAUCUGGAGGAAUACCGGUGGCGAAGGCGGCCCCCUGGACAAAGACUGACGCUCAGGUGCGAAAGCGUGGGGAGCAAACAGGAUUAGAUACCCUGGUAGUCCACGCCGUAAACGAUGUCGACUUGGAGGUUGUGCCCUUGAGGCGUGGCUUCCGGAGCUAACGCGUUAAGUCGACCGCCUGGGGAGUACGGCCGCAAGGUUAAAACUCAAAUGAAUUGACGGGGGCCCGCACAAGCGGUGGAGCAUGUGGUUUAAUUCGAUGCAACGCGAAGAACCUUACCUACUCUUGACAUCCAGAGAACUUAGCAGAGAUGCUUUGGUGCCUUCGGGAACUCUGAGACAGGUGCUGCAUGGCUGUCGUCAGCUCGUGUUGUGAAAUGUUGGGUUAAGUCCCGCAACGAGCGCAACCCUUAUCCUUUGUUGCCAGCGAUUCGGUCGGGAACUCAAAGGAGACUGCCAGUGAUAAACUGGAGGAAGGUGGGGAUGACGUCAAGUCAUCAUGGCCCUUACGAGUAGGGCUACACACGUGCUACAAUGGCAUAUACAAAGAGAAGCGACCUCGCGAGAGCAAGCGGACCUCAUAAAGUAUGUCGUAGUCCGGAUUGGAGUCUGCAACUCGACUCCAUGAAGUCGGAAUCGCUAGUAAUCGUAGAUCAGAAUGCUACGGUGAAUACGUUCCCGGGCCUUGUACACACCGCCCGUCACACCAUGGGAGUGGGUUGCAAAAGAAGUAGGUAGCUUAACCUUCGGGAGGGCGCUUACCACUUUGUGAUUCAUGACUGGGGUGAAGUCGUAACAAGGUAACC
rnacentral:rRNA from 1 species